UCAGAACUUCAUAAACUUCUUUUGCCGUGGACACACCCUUCAAGAGUUGUGAAGUCAAAUCAUACAGUAUAGAAGAUGCACAUUUUAGAAUGCUCAAUUAUAUUUUUCUUGAAGUGAAGAUGCUGUUCUAUAAACCUGUUUCUAUCAGAAAGUACCAUACUGAUUGGUGGCAGUUGGUGGCAGCCAGGUCUAUAGCUUGUUGGGCUAAUACUACUAGGACCAAGCAUUUUCUAAUGGGUAAUGGAGUUUGUCUAAUCUUGAAAGGUUGUGAUCAUCUCUGCUGUUUAUCAGAAUUAUAAAGUUGAUAUUCAAAAUAAAUGCAUGAUCGACUGCUUGAUUUGGAAUGAGAGAAUGUAUGUGAAAUUGCCUAUCAAAAAGAGGGAGAUUGGUGUUGCCACUUAAAAAGCUAAAAGGUGAUGAAGGUACCUAUGUAGUUUCAUACGCAUGCAAACAUUCAUGCAUUCAUGGAUGUAAAUAUGUACUUUGUUCUUUCUUAUGUUUCCACAUGUUGUUAUAUUCCAUAAAUGCUGAAAAAAGGUUAUGGUAGUGCAAUUUAUCA